GUUUAUAAUACUUGAGCAGAUUUUAAAAACGGGAGAUUUGAAGCAAUGUGGUUAACUUGAAAUUGCAAAACUGGGUGUUGGGUAUGGGGGUGGUUCGUUUUACUAUCCUCUCCACCUUUACAUCAUUGCAAAAUGCUUAUUAAAAAGUUUUAAGUCGUUGUUUUCUGAUAAUGACCUUUGUUUACCUCCCGUGUUUCUCAGAUUAUUUUCUACGAUAUGCCUUCUUUUACCAAAAAGGCAUUAAAAAUCAGAAGAGCUGACAGUCCGCAGAGAUGUUUUUAUUGCUGUGUAAUAGUAGUGAAUCCCCAGAAUGCUGUGAUAAGCCUGUGUACCUUAACGUGAGCUCAUAAAUGGUCCAAAUCCUCUCUCUGGGAUAGCACCCUGCCAUCUGAGACUAUGCUGUAAAUAUGAUCGGCUGAUAAAAAGCCCAGCUGCCACGGACCAUUUUAAAGAUUAGGAACCAUUUAAACACACACACACAUACACACACCCCACCUCUAGCCUCUUAAAUGUUAAGUGGCAAGAUACUCUGGUUUUACUUCCAAAGUUUCAUGCAAUAAUCAUGUAAGCAGCAAACAGCACAGAGCUCCACAUACCACCAAGCUGACUCAGAAGGAAGGGUUCCACAUUCCUUAAUUAGCAGCUUCAGAAAAGCAGCUCUUCCUGCAGUGGAGUUUCCCAUUUCAGCCAGCUACUCAUUGGCUCAACACACCCCACAGGUUCUCACAGGGGAGUUCCAGAAAGUCUGGAACCCGAGACAAUGUUAUUGAAUUUACAUUAACCAUUUCCUUUGUUCUGCUUUCAUUCUAGUUUAUUUUAUCAUACCCUAUUGUAUUCUGAUUUUUGCAGAUUGAAGAUGUCCACAAUAGCAUUAUGCAUAUUCUUUUUUGUCUCCAGGCUUCCCGGACACCCUGUCUAUACGGAGAUCACAGCCGGGAGCAGAAUAAAUGAGCACUUCACCAACUUGAAAAUACAAUUCUCUUGGUUAUUAAUAGUCAAAAGACUCCCAGUACUGGGCCAGAAGUUUCUUUUUUAGUAGCAAUUACUUAAAUUAAGUUUCUGAUUUGUAUUAAAGUUUUCUGGCAGAACUCAACACAGGAUGCAAGAGCAUGAGGAAGAUUUCCAAACAAGAUUACACGGUUUUCCGAUGUGCUACAUUUGAUCAUCUCUGAAAAGGCAGGGGCGACAUUGCAAUCUUAAUUGAAAUGUCAAAUUCUUGGGAAACGUUCUUGUUAACAUUGGACUUAAGGAUUGUAAUGAUUGUUUACUUUGAGCUCCAGAGGUUUUGAAGAAAUGUAAAAGAAUCCUAAGCAGGUGAAUGAGAGAUUUGACAGAUACUUAAAAAACACCAUUUGGGGAAAACCUGGUUUUUGUCCCUUGAGGGAUCCUCAAAAUCUGUUCAAUGAGGCAUUGUUCCAUUUUUUUUCUCUUUCAGUCUUCUCUUCCUUGAACUAGGCCUUUUCAAAGAAUGCUUCUGCUCAUUGACCAGCAGGUUGAGAGAUUUAUAUUUGGUUUCUAAUUAAGUACCCUAACUGUAAGUGAGAGAAUGGAGAAGAAAAGCCCAUAGUCUUAUAUCCCAAGAAGAAAGCAAAUGUUUGCCUCAGUGGCAAACCUGCCUUCUCAGGAGUCUAAGAGGGAGCAAAGAAGACCCAUUUUAUUUCUUCUGAAGACAUCCUCUGGCGCUUGAGAACGUCUGAUGUUGUUUAGCAGGUCACAGAGAGAGAGGCAGAGACACAGGCAGAGGAAGAAGCAGGCUCCAUGCACCGGAAGCCCGACGUGGGAUUCGAUCCCGGGUCUCCAGGAUUAUGGCCUUUUGGGAUUCUUGGGUCAUUUUUUAAAAAAUGGCCGAGUACUUGGCUGUAUCCUGCUUUUCUUCAUUUGAUUGUUCAACGUGCUGAUGUUUCUCAGGUGUUAAAAAUAAUGUCAGAUUGUUAAAUCACCUCUUGUUUCCUUUCUCUUUUAAAAUUUGCAAAAUACCAACGGUAUAGGCUAUACAGACCCCCUUCCUGCUCACCCACUCACCGCCCCAUCCUCCUCCCCACACAGCUCCUUCUGGUUCAGCAGAAUGGUAAAGAAUAUCUCUGAAAACUGAGAAAAAAAAAAAAGUUUCACUGACAGUUGAAUUAAAACCCUAACAGGUAAAGACUCAUACCAGGAAACUUUUUAUUUUAAGAUUUUAUUUAUAUACUUGAAAGAGAGAGAGAGAGCACAGAGGGAAAGGGAGAAGCAGACCCCCACUGAGCAGGGAGCCUUACCUGGGACUGGAUCCCAGGACUCUGGGAUCAUGACCUAGGCCAAAGGUAGACGCUUAACCUACUGAGGGGCCCCAGGAAACUCUUUUUCCCCUCUGUAUCUUAAGAUAUUUUAGGACAUAUUAUCCAGGAAUAAAGACCACAAAAGGGAUAUUCACAUUGUAAAGGAAAACCAAAUUGAGAGGGUCCUUAUCUCCUUAAAAAAAAAAAAUCUUAGCUCUGGGCCUCAUGGUGACUUGGAGGGAGGGCCCUGGGAGGCUGGAUAACCACAGUGGGAGGGAAACUGGUAUUUCUCUGUGUGCUUUUUGUGCUUCCUGAAUUCGAUAUCAGAAGAGGAUAUUCACUUCUUUAAAAAAACACACAUGGACAUGUUUUAAGUACAGAAGUAAUUAUGUCUGAAUCCCAGUCUUAAGGAAUCAAGCUCUCAUUAAAUAAGACACCUACCCCCUCUGUCUCCAGUACCUGAGUUUCCUGACCUCCUCCUCUUGCUUUCCACUUCAGAAUCAAACUUCACUAAGAAUAGGACACCUGCUCCAUUCUGACCAUGAGUACAUUGUUGGAGAAGCCUUGACAGUGCUCCGCCCCCCAAAGUUGAUUAUCAAACUAUAUAAAAUAGAGACACCCAAAGCUAUUUAUGAGGUGGAUCUUCACAGCACUUGUACUUUGUCUAUUCUCAGCCCAAUUCAACUUUCUCUCAACACAUCCGACCUCAAAGUUGGCAAAUGGGCCACUAGAAGUGGACCUCAUGUCACAUUUGCUAUGAUCCAGAGUGAGAUGCUCUGGUGAACACCUGCUUGAGGCUUCUUCGGGGGCACCUGCCUGCUAAUGUGCUUCCUCCACCCCUUCCUACUCUCCCUCAUGGGAUUAAUUUAGACAUUUUCUGAAGUAUUUAUUUAAAACCAUUCUCCUCCUGAGUCAGGAUGGACUUUGCUCAUCCUAUUUCCUUGAAAUAAAUAUUUCCACCUUGCAUGGGUGAGCAAUUGCACGAGAGCAUGAUUUCUUUCAGAGCACACCAUGGAUGAUAGUAUGUGUUUACAGAGAUGUAAAAAAAAAAAAUGUGCAAUUUGAACUUCCCUUCCAAAAUGACGACAGGUGCCUCUGGCUUGUAGAAAACGUGGCAAGAUUUGUAAUUUGAUAUAUAGGGAGAGGAUCCACUGUGGGGCGACUCUC